rnacentral:lncRNA from 1 species
ACUGUGCGCCUCGGGCGGCGGGGCUCGGGCUCUGUCCGAGGUGCUGAACUCCGGGGCUCCGGCCGCGCCGGCAGAGUGUGCCAGCGUCCAUUAUUGCCAGUGUCUGUGGGCAUCUUCCAGAAGGCCGAGCAUGGGGGUCAGGUGAAACCAGGGCGCUCCCAAGCACCUUGCCCAGUAGAGCCCCCUUGCACCCUGCUUGGUUGGUCAGCACCCCAUGGACAUGCAGCCUUGACCUUGGCAUGGGAAGCCUCCACUGUGUCAAGCCCAACAUCCAGGCCUCUGAAGACAGUCAUUCAGCCAUGAAUAUCAAUUAUUACAGAAAUGAAAAGGGAUCCUGCACCCAAAUUCAAAUCAAGCAAGUUCACCUAGAGGUUGCCGUGGGGUGGAGGGCCCAGAUCUGGGCUGUUUGGAUCUCUCUGCAGGAUGAAAGGGAUUUCCUGGACCUGGCUUUGCUGUCCCUUGCUCCUUUUGCCUGCACAGUGGCAGCAGCUGUGGCCAGAGGGACACCAGUGGACACAGAGGCCCAGGGAGAGGAGCAGAGGCCAGCAGGAAACAGCAAAUGCAGAGGCCCAAAGUGACCAGGACACCGUCCUUGUGCACAUCCUGGGAGGAGCCGACGUCUAAAGAAGGGCUGAAGCCUGAAAAUCUGGCAUGACUAGAGCUCAAAGUCAUGGCUGCUUGGGGCACUGUUAGAAAUGUGCCUCCUUGUGUUCUCCCAGUGAUGUGAUAAAGGUGGCAUCUCACUGAAAA